UAGCGUUGUUCGGAUUCACUGGGUUUAAAGGGUGCGUAGGAGGGCAGGUAAGUCAGUGUGAAAUCCUGGGGCUUAACCCCAGAACUGCCAUUGAUACUCUCUGUCUUGAAUACAGUGGAGGUGAGCGGAAUAUGUCAUGUAGCGGUGAAAUGCUUAGAUAUGACAUAGAACACCAAUUGCGAAGGCAGCUCGCUACACUACUAUUGACUCUGAGGCACGAAAGCGUGGGGAUCAAACAGGAUUAGAUACCCUGGUAGUCCACGCCCUAAACGAUGGAUACUCGACAUACGCGAUACACUGUGUGUGUCUGAGCGAAAGCAUUAAGUAUCCCACCUGGGAAGUACGACCGCAAGGUUGAAACUCAAAGGAAUUGGCGGGGGUCCGCACAAGCGGUGGAACAUGUGGUUUAAUUCGAUGAUACGCGAGGAACCUUACCUGGGCUANAAUGCUGGUGGAACGUGGGUGAAAACUCACUUUG
rnacentral:rRNA from 1 species